AUAGAUUGAUCACUAUCUUUUAUGAAGAUCUUUUGAUCUAAAGUAUUUAGGAACUAACCACUAAUAAAUGUAUGUCUCAAAUUCUAAAUGCUUUGAGAAUAUAUAAAAAAUUAUUUUUGUUAAUUUUUAGAAUAAAUCAUAGACAUAUAAACAUAUUUGAAAUGAAAAAGUUCUUUAUUGAUAAUAAAAAUAUUAUAAAUAUA
rnacentral:lncRNA from 1 species